rnacentral:misc_RNA from 1 species
GAUGAAGAACGUUGCGAAAUGCGAUAAGUAAUGUGAAUUGCAGAAUUCAGUGAAUCAUCGAAUCUUUGAACGCACAUUGCGCCCGUCAGUAUUCUGGCGGGCAUGCCUGUUCGAGCGUCAUUACGCCCCUCAAGUCCCCUGUGGACUUGGUGUUGGGGAUCGGCGAGGCUGGUUUUCCAGCACAGCCGUCCCUUAAAUUAAUUGGCGGUCUCGCCGUGGCCCUCCUCUGCGCAGUAGUAAAACACUCGCAACAGGAGCCCGGCGCGGUCCACUGCCGUAAAACCCCCCAACUUUUUAUAGUUGACCUCGAAUCAGGUAGGACUACCCGCUGAACUUAAGCAUAUCAAUAAGCGGAGGA